rnacentral:rRNA from 1 species
UACAGAGGGGGCAAGCGUUGUUCGGAAUUACUGGGCGUAAAGGGCGCGUAGGCGGCCUGCUAAGUCGGACGUGAAAUCCCUGGGCUCAACCCAGGAACUGCGUCCGAUACUGGUUGGCUUGAAUCCGGGAGAGGGAUGUGGAAUUCCAGGUGUAGCGGUGAAAUGCGUAGAUAUCUGGAGGAACACCGGUGGCGAAGGCGACAUCCUGGACCGGUAUUGACGCUGAGGCGCGAAAGCCAGGGGAGCAAACAGG